rnacentral:rRNA from 1 species
UACGAAGGGAGCUAGCGUUGUUCGGAAUCACUGGGCGUAAAGCGCACGUAGGCGGAUGUGUCAGUCAGGGGUGAAAUCCCGGAGCUCAACUUCGGAACUGCCUUUGAUACAGCACAUCUGGAGUCCGGAAGAGGUGGGUGGAAUUCCUAGUGUAGUGGUGAAAUGCGUAGAUAUCGGGAGGAACACCAGUGGCGAAGGCGACUACCUGGCCUGUUCUUGACGCUGAGGCGCGAAAGCUAGGGGAGCAAACGGG